rnacentral:lncRNA from 1 species
UUUUUUUUUUUUUUUUUUUUUUUUNUUUUAGGGCAGCACCCAUGGCAUGUGGAGGUUCCCAGGUUAGGGGUCCAAUCCAAGCUGUAGGUGCUGGCCUAUACCACAGCCACAGCAACAUGAGAUCUGAGCUACGUCUGUGACCUACACCACAGCUCAUGGCAACACCAGAUCCUUAACGAACUGAGUGAGGCCAGGGAUUGAACCUGAAUUGUCAUGGAUGCUAGUCAGGUUCAUUAACCACUGAGCCAUAAUGGGAACUCCUCUUUUUUGAUACUUUCUAUUUUUUCAUUUGUUUCAAGCAUAUUUGUAAUUGCUUUUUGAAAUACUCUUAUGAUGACUACUUUAAAAUUAUCUGUCAGAUAAUUCUAACAUCUCAUCAUGUCAGUGCUGGCAUCUAUUGAUUUUUUUUCUCUUUUUUUCAUUCAGUUUGAGAUAUUCCUAAUUCUUGGUUUGACAAGUGAUUUUCCAUUGAAACAUGGACCUUUGAUUAUUAUUUCACAAGACUGAAUCUUAUUUACACUUUCUGUUUUAGUUAGCUUCCUCUGACACUGGUCUAGCAAGGGAAAAGGAAGGUAUCACCUCAUUACUGCCAGGUGGAAGCUAGAUGUCCUGGUUUAUACCUCAGCCUCCACUGACAUUCAUUGCUGCUGGCGGGGGUGGGAGUUCUGGUGGCCCAUGAAGCCCCCAUUGAUACUUCCUGGUUCAGAGGGAUAGAAGUGUCUUAUUCUGGUCUCUUCAUGGGCUCCACAGGGAGGCAUGCCUCAUUACUAUUGGGUGGUGGUGAAAUUUCUGACUCCCCACCAGGACUCUUCUGACACCAUUCCAUUGUGUCUGCUCCUAACAGCCCCUGAGGGUGUAAGUCUAGGCUCCCAAUUGGCCCUUGCUGGUGUGGCUGGGACAGGGGCACAGCUUUUCUAUGGUGUGUAGUCAGAGUGGAGCAGUUAUUGUCUAGAAGUUCUCUGUCUUAGUAGACUGCCCCUUUCCCAGCCCUUUAGCUAGAGAGAGCAGCAUUUUAAAUAAUCCAUACCCUUGGCAUUUAUGGACAACUGACGUCUUUAGCUCCAAGUCUGCGAUGUAUAGGGCAAAAGGAAAACUGAGGAAAAUCACUACUAUGUAGUUCCUUGGGUAUCAAGAUCCCAGGAUGGUCUUUCUUCUCCUUCCACCUUUUGCAGUCCUCUUAUGUUUGUUUUACAUACAAGAUCCUGGAGGGUGUGUGUGUGGUGUGUGUGUGUGUGUGUGUUUGUCUUUUUACCUUUUCUGGGGCCACUCCUGCGACAUAUGGAGGUUCCCGAGCUAGGGGUCGAAUUGGAGCUGUAGCUGCUGGCCUAUACCACAGCCACAGCAAACAGGAUCUGAGCCGCAUCUGUGACAUACACCACAGCUCAUGGAAAUGCCGGUAAGAUCCUGGGUUUUUAGUUGUACUUAGUAAGAGGAAUGGAGAGACGUACAGAUGAACCUUGAACAGCAUGGGGGUUAGGAGCGCUGACCCUCUGUGCAGUUGAAAAUCCAUGUAUAGCUUUGUAAUUGGCCCUUUGCAUCCGUGGUUUUGCAUCUUUCCUCCUGACCCUCAUCACCUUGAUUACCUGUAAUAUCCCCAUGGGCCUCCAUACCCCAUGAGUCAGAGGCUGGGCACUGGUGAUGCCCACCUGACCUCCAUCCCUCAGAACAGGUCUGCUCCAACCUGUGGCCACCUUGGAGCCAGGCAGCCCCAGAGAACAAGCCAGCCCAUCCCCAGAGUUGCUGGGAGAGUCCAUAGCUCUUGUCUUGUGUGCUGAAGCCACACCUGGCUGGACCCAACCAUCUGGGCCACGAUCAGUACAGCUGCCCAAGCUGGCCUAUGGGGGCAUGUGUGAGGAGCAGGGCUGUGGUCUCAGUCCCUGUGUUGGGGAAGGUUUGUUAGCAGCAUUACUGGGGCAGUGAGUGAGUGGUACACAGUGUGAGGAGCAUCCACCUCCAGGCUUCAAACGUGGUAUAUUCUGUUUUUAUUGCAACAAAUUGCCACAAGUUUGGUGGCUUAAAACAAUACCCCUUACUGCCACACAGUUCUGUAGUUCAGACACCUGGGUGGGCUCAGCUUGGUCCUCUGCUGGGGUCUCACAAGGCUAGCUGUGUUCUCAUCUGGAGCUUAGGGUCCUCAUCUAAGAUGAUUCUGAUUUUUGCUGAAUUUGGUUCCUGUGGUUGUAGGACUAAAGUCCUGUUGCCUUGCUGGCUGUCAGCUGGGGACCCAGAGGCUGCCCGUGUCCUCCUCCCGUUCUCUGUGUGGCCCCUCUGACCACAGAAGGCCUGGCUCCUCUCAUGCUUUGAAUCUCUCUGGCCUCUCUCCUGCCAUGUCCUUCCCCUGGCUCCCUUUCCUGCCACAUCUUGCUGACUCUUCUCCCUUCCUCGUCUGCUUUUAAGGACUCAUGUGAUUACAACCCAAGAGUCCAGGAUAAUCGCCCUAUUUUACGGUCAGCGGAUCAGUCAUCUUUUUUAUUAUUAUUAGAGUCAACGCACAAUGUUUCUUUGAUUUCUAUUGUACAGCAAAGUGACCCAAUCACACAGCCCCACUGCCCAUCCGUUCCAAAUGUAUCAGUUUGCAUCCAUCAACCCCAAACUCCCUGUCCAUCCCACUCCCUCCCCGCUCCCCCCAGCAACCACUAGUCUUCUUAAUUCCAUCUGUAAAGUCCCUUCCCAGCAGUCCCUGGAUUAGCAUUUGAUUAAACAGCUGGAGGACAGAAAUCUUGGGGACAUUUUUAGAAUUCUGGCCCCACGCUAGGACUGUGCCAUCACCAGCUGGUGAGGAACAGUUUCUGUGUGAUCUCACACCUCUCAGCAUUGGAUCAGAGAUGAGGAUGCAGGUCAGAAAGAAUUCAUUAGGGAAAAAAAAAUUCUUUGCUGAAAUACUUCAGGGAGUUUGGGGUUUCAGGGGUAUGAGCCACCUGUCUCUUUGAAAGGCCCCACAAUAUAUUUUUUUCUGCCAAAAAAAGAGAACUUAUUAGGAAUCUUCUGAUAAUUUAAAAAUUAAAUGCAAGGAACAUAUAAUUUACAAUUUUUAAAACGGCUUGUUUUCUCUUUAGUAGAAUUUGCAGUUGUGGAAAUCCAUGGUUUCAGAUUGCAGAGAUACUCUUGGUAGACAAGCAAAACUGAUUUAACAUAUGCAUAGAAAGUAUAUUCUUUACCAGGUUUAAGUGUGUGGUCACAUUCAGGAGUCGCCUUGUCCCUGUGCUGCUCCUUGGCUGUCACCCCAUUCUAGAAUAUGUGAAAUGGAAUUUUAUUCAGAGGAAGGUCUUCUUGGAGGUCCCGCUGCGGCACAAGGGGAUUGGUGGCGUCUCUGGAGCACCGGGAUGCAGGUUUGAUCCCCGGCCCAGCACAGCGGGUUGAGGAUCUGGCAUGGCCCCAGCUGUGGCAUAGGUCACAGUUGUGGUUGGGAUCUGUUUCCUGGCCCAGGAAUUCAGAAGGCCAAAAAAGAACAAAAACAAACAAACAAACAAAGGAGGGUCUUCUCGUGACCGACCCUCCACCGCCAAAGCCAGCCGAGCAGCCCAGUCUAACCCGCAGGCGCCCUCGCACCUGCACGCUAUCCCUUUGUUCCAUCACGAGACAAAGGGGCCCUGCCUUCUGCAGGCUCCACGGGAUGCUGCAAUCCAGACUUGCUCGGCCUCAGGGGGCAGCUGCCACAUUCCUACCCCAACUUCUCGUCACCUGAGUGUGACCCCUCACCAUCACGGCUGCAUUUCCAGUGGCCCUGGAGCUGGCGGUGCUGGGACAGCUGGCGAGGGAACUCUGCCAUCCUCACCCUUUCACUGAAGCUUAACCUCCUGGCCAGAGGGCUUCGUGCCCUGGGGUUCCCCCCAAAGGACUGUAAGGCGGCAGCAGCCAUCGUAUUCCUUUCAAGCCCAGCAGUGGAGGGCCAGGCAGGGCCAGAGAACUCGGUGAGGGGCGUCUCGUUGCCCUUCUUCCCGGCUGCUUGAAUGGAGUCUCUUGGGGGAAGUUGCUGCCCCAAGGGUCUGAAGUCCAUCUCCACGGUUUGGAAGAGUGGCCCUCAUCCCCAGACCAACAUCCGGGCAGGAAGGGCAUUGGGAAGCCAGUUCCUGUCACCCCCUGGCCUGGCCUACGGUCCUGUGGGUGGCUGUCCUCGGCUGCCCCGGCGGGACUCAGCCCUGAGGGUCCUCUCCCUCCCCCUUCGUCCCCACAAGGGGCCCUUUUCCAGGCUGUCCUAUACGGACUGUGGGUUGUUUUCUUUUUCACUCUCGCCCAGGUGACUCCAGUGGGAAGUGAGAGCACAUUUGACAAGUCAGCUGCCAUUUCAGCGAACACACUGCUUCUCUGUGAGGCAGGAAGAGAAGCAGCAGACAACAAGCUUGGAGCAGGAGGGAAGUUUCUGUCUCCCAGUCCAUCAAGGUGUGGGUGUGCCUGCAUCGUUCCCUAAUACAAAGUCUCGGAGGUCCCGUCGUGGCGCAGUGGUUAACGAAUCCCACUAGGAACCAUGAGGUUGUGGGUUCGAUCCCUGGCCUCACUCAGUGGGUUAAGGAUCCGGCGUUGCUGUGAACUGUGGUGUAGGUCACAGAUGUGGCUUGGAUCCUGCGUUGCUGUGGCUGUGGUGUAGGCUGUUGGCUACAGCUCCCAUUAGACCCCUAGCCUGGGAACCUCCAUAUGCAGAGGGAGUGGCCCUAGAAAAGACCAAAAAAAAAAAAAAAAAAAGACCAAAAAACCAAAAACCCCAAAGUCUCUCAAACUGAAUUGCACCUGCAAUCUUUCAGGAAGUAUUUGCUGAGCCCCCACGUGGUGCCAAUUCUGUGCUAAUAAACCAGAGGAGGGCACAGGCGGGUCCUGACUCCAGCAGUUCCUCAUGGGGGAAAUCCACAUAGACGCAUUUCACACCGUAAUGAGAGACCGGCAAAUAAAACAACCCCUGAAAUUAUUUGUGGUCUGAAAAUGCCCAGGAUCCCAAGUUCUGACUUCUGGGUUCAAGUUUCCAUGAUGGGGCCCCUGCGUCCCCCACACUCUUGGAUUAGCAUGUGGUAUUUGGUCACAGAUAAGUCCCCACCUUGCAGUGUGGGCUGGUUCGUAGUGGCCACCAGGCACAGUGCUUAUCAUGGGCAAAGAGAUGAAAGUGACUAUUGCAACAGGUUUGAAUACUGAUGUCUGUGAAUCUCCGUUUCUAGGUACAGUGGCCAGUGGCAAAGUGCACAUAUGUGGACCACGACAGAUGAAACGGACAUUGAUUUUUAUGUGCCUGAGAGACUUGGGCUUAACCUGUUGGGUCCACGAAAGCCUUUCCCAGUGCAAACAUCACCAGGCUGGUUGCUGUUACCCUCUCCUGUCUGGUCGUCACACUCCAGCUGCAUGCGGGCAGGGCCUGGCUCACCCCUGCACACACAGCCUAGCGCAGCCUCAGGGAACAUCUGGGGGAGAAGGGGGGCAGCGAUCGAUGGCUGUAUCCAAUAAGUGAGAUGCAGAGAAAGAAGGGGAUUGAUUCCACUCAGGGAUACCUCUGGGCUGUUACUUGCAUGUGAAAAUGAGGCCAUGGGUCUCCCGUCCAGAGUGGGCUCUCUGAAUUUCUCCCUCCCAUACAGGCGAGGGCUUUCCUUCAAACCUCCCAUCAGAUCACUGAGCAUGAGGGCCCUGCCUCCAGUCGUUACCUGUGCGGCUAAAUUCUCCAUCCCUUCCUCCUUCGUGUAUCAAAAGGGCUCCACUCCCCAGGAGUGGCACAGGGAGCGUGGUGGACCAGGGCCCGCAGGGGAGCAGAGGCUCAUGGGCGCAUCUGGAGAAGGAGGCCCAGUGACAUCAGCCUUUGGGGCCUGGGGGCACAGGCAAGAUGGCAGGGGGUGUGUGUGGGAACUUGGGGUGAGACAACAAGGAAGAGGGUUGGCCAGCGCAGGUCCCCAAGCCAUCAGAGGGUGGAAAAUUUCCCCUCAGCCUGCUCCCCGGCAUUCCACAGCCCUUCUGGCCAAACUGGUUGAGUAAAGGCCAUUCCAAGCCUCCCUCUGUGCAUGGGAAGGGAUUUCAAGACAGCGGAACGCCUCCCCUUUGCCUCUGAAGCCACACAUGGCUGCAGCCAUAUAAGGACCAGAGUUCUGGAGUCCUGGCUUCCUGGGUGUGUGGCCAGGACAUGUCCUCUAACUUUCCUGUGCGUGUUCCUAGCCAUCUCGGCUGCUGGCACAUAACAUCCAAGACAUGUGGGCUGCUAUUAAAAACAUGGGUAAUUUUAUAUCUUAAAAUAUUGCAUAUUGCUUAAAUGGUUUCAUGCUGGCUCACAUUAAAAAUGAUUCCCAAGUGAAGAUGACAAGGGGGAAAUAUUCGUUAUUUAGUUCUUUUCUUACAUUCAGCUCUCAUAAUAAAGUACAUUUCUGGGUUGCAUUCUCUAGAGUGCUUUUUACUAAAUAAAUGGCCCAAAAUAACUUUUUCCUUCCAGUAAGAUUUCAUGAUUCAGCACAUUCAACUUUCACUAUAAAAGGUUGAAAUAAAGAGUACAAAACAAAUCUAAGAGCAAGAAACAGGCAAGAAAAAACAAUAAAUGGUAGAGGCUGAGGGUCACAUUCCAACACACUGAGACCAACCUUGGCGAUGUGGGAGCUGCAUUUACUUAGGUAUCUGCACUACACUUAGCCUUUGAGGAAGCAGGUAGCUAAGAAUUACCGGGGGGGGGGGGUAAGUCCCAGUUUUUCAGCAAAAGGUCGGCUUAGAGAAAUAAGCAAUAAAAUAAGUAAAAAGAAAUAAGGGGAGAGAAGUCCCAGUCCUUCCUUAAAAGUCAGCUCCUUCCAACCCCAGCACAGGCCAGAGGGUCCAAGAUUGGAGCCCCCCCGCCUUCCCCCCCCCCCCCUCCGUGCCGACAGAACAGCUCCAGAUGUUUAUGGCAAAGGUUCCACGUCCGGUCAUUUGCCAGGUGACACUAGAGGCGGGAGUAGCGUGGUCAGGGCUGCUGGCCUUAUUCUCUAAGAGCUGCGGAAGCGCGUCAGCUGGAUGCCUUGAGCACAGAGCUGGGUUUGGAGCCGGCCAGGUAUUUUCUUUCCUUUAUGGGGAGAAUCCUGGCCCUUCUCCCCCCUUGUGGGAGAUCUCUUGCCUUUCCUGUCUCAUCGUGACCACUGGGCAGAAGAGUGCUUUUCACUCGAUCGUGAGUAGCAUCUCCAAGGAAGCUGUCCUCUCUCCAACGUUACAAAAAGGCCCCGGCAGACCCCUCGCCAUCCUCUGCUUAGGAAGGUGCGCGUGUCCACACCGACGGCUUCAGGUCUCCCAGAGCCUGGGAC